rnacentral:guide_RNA from 1 species
ACAUAUAUAACUCACUGCAUAGAAGCCACGUAUAGAUUGUAUGU